rnacentral:rRNA from 1 species
UAGUCCACACCGUAAACGAUGAUUACUAGGUGUUCGAGGAUUGACCCCUUCAGUGCCGCAGUUAACACAAUAAGUAAUCCACCUGGGGAGUACGACCGCAAGGUUGAAACUCAAAGGAAUUGACGGGGGCCCGCACAAGCAGUGGAGUAUGUGGUUUAAUUCGACGCAACGCGAAGAACCUUACCAAGUCUUGACAUCCUCUGACGAACGUAGAAAUACGUUUUCUCUUCGGAGCAGAGAGAC